UUUCUAAGGAUUUGUACACUUUGCAAUGGUUGUCUCAAUAAGACAUGACAAGUUUCUUUAGGCCCUACUUCACAUAAAAAUUUGUUUUUGUAGAUGCUUAUAAAAAACUUGACAUUCACUUCAUGAAGACUUUUUCUCUUAUGUGUAAGGAUAGUCUCGUUGUGACAACCAUUGUUUCUAAGGAUUUGUACACUUUGCAAUGGUUGUCUCAAUAAGACAUGACAAGUUUCUUUAGGCCCUACUUCACAUAAAAAUUUGUUUUUGUAGAUGCUUAUAAAAAACUUGACAUUCACUUGGUGAUAUCCUAGCACAUAUGAGAAAUAAUCUAUUUCAUUUUUAUCUAUGCAAGCUUCUUUUAAAGACUCUUCUUUUUCACUUAGGCUUGCAAGUGUUCCUUUACAAAAGGUAAGGCUUUGAGGUUGUUCAACAAGACACAUAUUUUCAAAGGUAUUUUUAAAUCUUUGGUCUUGUUGAAUGACCUUGUGGGAAGGAAC
rnacentral:lncRNA from 1 species